rnacentral:rRNA from 1 species
GUGCCAGCAGCCGCGGUAAUACAGAGGGUGCGAACGUUGUUCGGAAUUACUGGGCAUAAAGCGUGCGUAGGCGGCGGCGUAAGUGUAGGGUGAAAUCCCACGGCCCACCCGUGUGAACAGCCCCGCAUACUGCGUUGCUUGAGUGUGGUAGGGGAGAGCGGAACUCCUGGUGGAGCGGUGAAAUGCGUAGAUAUCAGGAGGAACACCGGUGGCGCAGGCGGCUCUCUGGUCCACAACUGACGCUGAAGUACGAAAGCUAGGGUAGCGAACGGGAUUAGAUACCCUCGUAGUCC